rnacentral:misc_RNA from 1 species
AACGCAUAUUGCGCUCGAGGCUUCGGCCAAGAGCAUGUCUGCCUCAGCGUCGGUUUAUACCCUCGCUCCUCAUUCAUCCUUUGAUGAGUGCCGGCCUGAACUCGUUUCAUGUGCCUCAGGAGCGGAUAUGGCUUUCCCAGUCCUAUUUGAUUAGAGCUGGGUCGGCUGAAGCACAGAGGCUAGAACUUGGACCCUAUACGGGCUUCAACUGGAUAGGUAGCACCGGCUUUAACCAGCCGACUACACGAAGUUGUUGCUUGUGGUCUUUGUUGGCGGCCUGCAGGAAAACCUUUAAACCUUCGACCUGAGCUCAGGCAAGAUUACCCGCUGAACUUAA